rnacentral:rRNA from 1 species
UGGGAGUUAAAAAAUCGUAACAAGGUCUCCGUUGGUGAACCAGCGGAGGGAUCAUUACCGAGUACUAUAACUCAUAACCCUUUGUGAACCUUCAUACCUGUUGCUUCGGCGGCGCGCCUCCCGGGGCGUGCCCGCCGGCAUUAUCAGAAUCUCUGUUCGAACCCGACGAUACUUCUGAGUGUUCUAAGCGAACUGUUAAAACUUUCAACAACGGAUCUCUUGGCUCCAGCAUCGAUGAAGAACGCAGCGAAACGCGAUAUGUAAUGUGAAUUGCAGAAUUCAGUGAAUCAUCGAAUCUUUGAACGCACAUGGCGCCUUCCAGUAUCCUGGGAGGCAUGCCUGUCCGAGCGUCGUUUCAACCCUCGAGCCCCCGUGGCCCGGCGUUGGGGACCUGCCCAGGCAGUCCCCGAAAACCAGUGGCGGACCCGACGGGCCCUUCCUUUGCGUAGUAACAUCUGCCUCGCAUCGGGAGCCCCCGGGCUAUCCGGCCUCUAAACCCCCCUCAAGCCCGCUCCGGCGGCACCAAGGUUGACCUCGGAUCAGGUAGGAAUACCCGCUGAACUUAAGCAUAUCAAUA